CGCGGAUUGGUGUACUUGGUAACAUAACUGGCUCAUGCCCAGUAGAGAAAGGUUCAAAUCCUUUGUCCGCAU
rnacentral:tRNA from 2 species